UCUUCAUUCCUCGUACUCUCU
rnacentral:miRNA from 1 species